UACGUAGGGUGCAGGCGUUAAUCGGAAUUACUGGGCGUAAAGCGUGCGCAGGCGGUUUCUUAAGUCAGAUGUGAAAGCCCCGGGCUUAACCUGGGAACUGCGUUUGAAACUGGGAGACUUGAGUGUAGCAGAGGGGGGUGGAAUUCCACGUGUAGCAGUGAAAUGCGUAGAUAUGUGGAGGAACACCGAUGGCGAAGGCAACCCCCUGGGUUAACACUGACGCUCAUGCACGAAAGCGUGGGGAGCAAACAGG
rnacentral:rRNA from 1 species